rnacentral:rRNA from 1 species
GACGAACGCUGGCGGCGUGCUUAACACAUGCAAGUCGAACGGUAAGGCCCUUCGGGGUACACGAGUGGCGAACGGGUGAGUAACACGUGGGUGAUCUGCCCUGCACUUCGGGAUAAGCCAGGGAAACUGGGUCUAAUACCGGAUAGGACCACUGCCUGCAUGGGUGGUGGUGGAAAGCUUUUGCGGUGUGGGAUGGGCCCGCGGCCUAUCAGCUUGUUGGUGGGGUGAUGGCCUACCAAGGCGACGACGGGUAGCCGGCCUGAGAGGGUGACCGGCCACGCUGGGACUGAGAUACGGCCCAGACUCCUACGGGAGGCAGCAGUGGGGAAUAUUGCACAAUGGGCGCAAGCCUGAUGCAGCGACGCCGCGUGAGGGAUGACGGCCUUCGGGUUGUAAACCUCUUUCAGCAUCGACGAAGCGAAAGUGACGGUAGGUGCAGAAGAAGGACCGGCCAACUACGUGCCAGCAGCCGCGGUAA